AUUUUCUUCUUUAAGCUCUGAGCCAAAAUUGCAGAAGCUAUUUUUCUUGGUGUUUGUAGUAUUUGUAGUAAGACAUAGCAGAGAAAACACAAGAAGAAAAUAAUGCAUGAUGCCAGACAGAAAAAAAUCUAAUAGGAACCAGUUUUAAGUCCCUGGUUCUUUGUUCUAGGUUUCCGUACAAUAAUG